rnacentral:rRNA from 1 species
UACGUAGGGCCCAAGCGUUGUUCGGAUUUACUGGGCGUAAAGGGCGCGUAGGCGGCAAUUCAAGUCAUCUGUGAAAUCUCCGGGCUUAACUCGGAACGGUCAGAUGAUACUGCUUUGCUAGAGUGCAGAAGGGGCAAUCGGAAUUCUCGGUGUAGCGGUGAAAUGCGUAGAUAUCGAGAGGAACACCUGAGGUGAAGACGGGUUGCUGGGCUGACACUGACGCUGAAGCGCGAAAGCCAGGGGAGCAAACGGG